ACACAUGCAGUCGAGCGAUGAGAUCCCUUCCGGGGAUGGAUUAGCGGCGAACGGGUGAGGAACACGUGAAGAAUCUGCCUUCAACUUCUGGGAUAACACCGGGAAACCGGUGCUAAUACCGGAUAUGAGCCUUGAUCGCAUGAUCGGGGCUGGAAAGUUUUUCGGUUGAAGAUGACUUCGCGGCCUAUCAGCUAGUUGGUGAGGUAAUAGCUCACCAAGGCGACGACGGGUAGCCGGCCUGAGAGGGCGACCGGCCACACUGGGACUGAGACACGGCCCAGACUCCUACGGGAGGCAGCAGUGGGGAAUAUUGGGCAAUGGAGGAAACUCUGACCCAGCGACGCCGCGUGAGGGAUGAAGGCCUUCGGGUUGUAAACCUCUUUCAGCAGGGAAGAAGCGAAAGUGACGGUACCUGCAGAAGAAGCACCGGCUAACUAUGUGCCAGCAGCCGCGGUAAUACAUAGGGUGCAAGCGUUGUCCGGAAUUAUUGGGCGUAAAGAGCUCGUAGGUGGUUAGUUACGUCGGAUGUGAAAAUCUAGGGCUCAACCCUAGACCUGCAUCCGAUACGGGCUAGCUUGAGUUUGGUAGGGGAGACUGGAAUUCCUGGUGUAGCGGUGGAAUGCGCAGAUAUCAGGAGGAACACCAAUGGCGAAGGCAGGUCUCUGGGCCAAUACUGACACUGAGGAGCGAAAGUGUGGGGAGCGAACAGGAUUAGAUACCCUGGUAGUCCACACAGUAAACGAUGGGCACUAGUUGUGGGAACCUUCCACGGUUUCUGCGACGCAGCUACGCAUUAAGUGCCCCGCCUGGGGAGUACGAUCGCAAGAUUAAACUCAAGGAAUUGACGGGGCCCCGCACAAGCAGCGGAGCAUGCGGCUUAAUUCGACGCAACGCGAGACCUUACCAAGGCUUGACAUAUACAGAAUAUGGCAGAGAUGUCA
rnacentral:rRNA from 1 species